CGAAACGUUAGAUGAAACGGUAGAUUAUUUUUACGUCCCUGUUGAGACAUGUUCUUACAUUUUCCAAGGAUGUGGUUAUGUUUUUUGAAACCAGUGUCACAACCUUCCCUGACGUAACACAGAUGUCACGUGACAACCAUUUACCACAAGAUGGCGCCUCAUUUCAUGUCGGGUCUUCUGGUACAUAGGGAGCGUGGAGGCAUUCGGAUGUCUCGGCGCCGACAAGCACAAUUGUUCUGCCACAGGAAAAGAGCAGGACAGAGACUACGCUCCAUGGACUCCGAGAAGGAUAAGGAGAGGAAAGGAGAAAGCAGCUUGCAGAUAACAGACAUGGAGGAUACAGAAGGGAGCGGAUGAAGACAUAGACGGAUCCCAGUUCCCCCAGAUGAAGGCUUUCAAAUCAAGACAAAGUGAUCCACAUUUGGGGUCCGCAAGACCAUCGGGAGUAGAUCUAGGGGGAGGUAACUGCGUCUGAACCAACAGUGGCCGUCCUGCGUGAACAGGCAGCAGCCGACCGAGACAGGACCGUCCACUUCACCAGUGACGUCACCCAGCGUGAAGGUGGCAGGUCACGUGAUGUCCGACGUGUGGUCCACAGCGAGGGGGCAGUGACAAGCCAAAGGCCUGCCGGUCGGGACCGUCUACGGGAGUUCGGCAGAUCGAUUGUCAACGUCCUCAGCAGAACGUUCCGCCGUCAACCACGGCGACGUGACGCGAAGCGUGGUCAUCCCGCUGCCAGAGACGAACGUGAUUCUGAAAAACGGGAUGUCUCAACCCAGGUGGAAGAACUGCGACUUCCGGCAGAUCAGCUCAUUCAAAAACAAUUUCGGUCAAAGAGAGUGGAAAAUAUCAGCGAUGAAGUUGAAGAGAUCCAAUUCAUCAAUCUAAGCUGUAUAUGACGUCAUCGAGGCUUCAAUCCGUCAAUAAUCACCCUUCUACAACGAAACGCCAUUAUGCUGGAAAAUAUCGUUUCUAGUUACAUUGUGCCAGGAGUCAAAUUUCAAGAUGAUUAUUGUGACGUAUUUGUUUUAAUUGCAUAGAUAUAUAACUGUGCUCUUGGAAAUCAUGCAUUUCCGAAAUAAACAGGCUUCAUCGUGCA
rnacentral:lncRNA from 1 species